UACAGGGGGUGCAAACGUUGCUCGGAAUUAUUGGGCGUAAAGCGCACGUAGGCGGCGCAGCAAGUCAGGGGUGAAAUCCCGGGGCUCAACCCCGGAACUGCCCUUGAAACUGCAGUGCUAGAAUCUUGGAGAGGCGAGUGGAAUUCCGAGUGUAGAGGUGAAAUUCGUAGAUAUUCGGAAGAACACCAGUGGCGAAGGCGACUCGCUGGACAAGUAUUGACGCUGAGGUGCGAAAGCGUGGGGAGCAAACAGG
rnacentral:rRNA from 1 species